UAAUUAGCUACAUUUAGGUACAUAUGUAAUAAAUCAACUCUUCGAGGUACUGAAAAAAACUCUUUCAAAAUUAUUUGCGGAUCGAUUUUGACAUCGCGAUGUACAUUGAGUGAGGCUAAGCCGUUCAGGCGAUCUUCAGACAUUGUUGAUCUCAAAUACGUUUUCAGUCGUCGCAAAGUUGAGAAGGAUCGUUCAUUCGUCGCUGUUGUCACAGGCAAAACUGCCAUCACGCGAAGCAUCUGGUUAACAUUUGGAAACGCAUCUUCAUUACAAAUAUCGAGUGCUUCAAAUUUCAAUCGUCGUGCAAAAUUGAACAGUAUGGUUGGAAUAGUUGAGCGCAGGACUCUUCCUCGAAAAUUUGCAUUUUGUUGGGAAAAAGGCAAGCGAAAUUUGAUAAAAAAUUGCGGUGAUUUAAGAAUCGAGAUUGCAAUUGUACCAGAAACGAAUCAAUAUACGCCUCUCCCAGAUCUUGAUUUUCUCCUUGAAGUACUCGACUCAGGGACAAUGUGAGAGAAUGCACCGAGCUCAAAAUAUGCAUGGAUAUCUGGAAAUUCGCGGUUUUUAUAGCUGAAAGUAGUUGAAAAGCUCCAGACGAAGUCGUUUGGUCUUUCCAGGUAGUAGAAAUCACUUCAAGAGCGCGAAUCACUGCUGGUUGCAAAUGAAGAUAUGUUGCGACGGACUCGUGCUGCUCUACCCAUCUGGUUUUACAA